GCUGGGUGUGGUAGCUAGCGCUUGCCUGUAAUCCCAGUAGCUCUGGGAGGCUGAGACAGGAGCCUCAGCAACGGUGAGGCCUUAAACAACUCAGUGAGAUUCUGUCUCUA
rnacentral:sRNA from 1 species